GUGUGCACCAAAUUUUUUAUGUUAUUUCUUCAUAGACAGAAAAAAUAUUACAGUCAUUCUUUAAAUAUGAUCUACCCUGUGUCAAUACCAAGGCACUAAUUGUUACACAGAUUCUAUCGUCUGACUAUGGGCGUAUUGCAUUUCCGAUAAGUUUUCAAAGUUCCUAUACUACGUUUCCAGAAAUUGUAUUUAUUACUUUUCCAAAAAUUUACCUGGUAGUAAUUUUGAUAAGUGAAAGAUGAUGAUGUCGGAAUCAUAUUUUUAUGUUUCAUGUCUAUGAUCAUCUAUGUAAUGAUAUAGCUGAUAUUUCUAAAUGGCACGUGUUAGUUAAUUAUUCGAUACAUGGGUGUAAAAAGAAAUACAUUCCUCUUUUGUUUGCGUUACUUGAGGGGGGGCAAGGGGGGUCCCCAUAACAGCAAAACAGGGAAUUGAUUUGGUGAAAAACAGAUAACAAGGAAUUGAAAAGGGACAAUAACAGAUAACAGUAAAUGAAAUAUGAAAACAAAUCUGUCCAGGACCAAUCCAGUAGAUGACUCGUAGAUCUUAGUAUAUA
rnacentral:lncRNA from 1 species